rnacentral:tRNA from 1 species
GCGGGCGUGGCGCAAACGGUAGCGCACGAGCCUUCCAAGCUCGGUGUUGCGGGUUCGAGUCCCGUCGCCCGCU